rnacentral:rRNA from 1 species
GUGAGGAAUAUUGGUCAAUGGGCGAGAGCCUGAACCAGCCAAGUCGCGUGAAGGAAGACGGUUCUAUGGAUUGUAAACUUCUUUUGUAUAGGAAUAAAAAAGGGUACGUGUACCCUAUUGUAUGUACUAUACGAAUAAGGAUCGGCUAACUCCGUGCCAGCAGCCGCGGUAAUACGGAGGAUCCGAGCGUUAUCCGGAUUUAUUGGGUUUAAAGGGUGCGUAGGCGGGAUAUUAAGUCAGUGGUGAAAGUUUGCAGCUUAACUGUGAAAUUGCCAUUGAAACUGAUAUUCUUGAGUGCAAAUGAGGUAUGCGGAAUGUGUUGUGUAGCGGUGAAAUGCUUAGAUAUAACACAGAACACCGAUUGCGAAGGCAGCAUACUGGGAUGCAACUGACGCUCAGGCACGAAAGCGUGGGGAUCGAACAGGAUUAGAAACCCUUGUAGUCC